AGGGUCAUUACACACAGAAUAUGAAGGCCUGGCUUCGCGGCCGGCUGAAAUAUUUUUUCACCCAUGUCUUUUGCGCACUUGUUGUUUCCUGGGCGGGUUCGCCCGCCACCAGGACCAAACCAUAAACCUUUUUUUUAUGCAGUUGCAAUCAGCGUCAGUAAAAACAAUGUAAUUAUUACAACUUUCAACAACGGAUCUCUUGGUUCUGGGCUCAAUGAAGAACGCAACGAAAUGCGAUACGUAUUGUGAAUUGCAGAAUUCAGUGAAUCAUCGAAUCUUUGAACGCACAUUGCGCCCUUUGGUAUUCCAAAGGGCAUGCCUGUUCGAGCGUCAUUUGUACCUUCAAGCUUUGCUUGGGGUUGGGCGUUUUUGUCUCUCUCUUUCUGGGGAGACGCGCGUUAGAACGAUUGGCCCCGGGACAACUGGUUUCGGAGCGCAGCACAUGAUUUGCGCUUUGUAUCAGGAGAAAAGGACGGUAAUCCAUUUUGACUCUACAUUUUUAACUUUUGACCUUGGAUCCGGUAGGUAUACUCGCUCAAUUUAAGCAUAUAAAUGACUGAAAAGAA
rnacentral:rRNA from 1 species